AUCGAUCUCUCUCAAUUCUCUCCACCAAAAUCUUUGACAUUUUGUGCUUUCAAUCCGAAAUCCUUAGCCCAUUCGAUUAACUCCUGUACCAUAUCCCAAUUCUAUCUCUUUCUCCAUCGAUUUCAAGAAUCUGCAUAUAUUGAUGGUGAUUUGCUAGACGGAGACAAAGUCAUUAGUCAUUUUUUUCGGUUUUUACGUCUGAGACUACACUGGCCUUGGAUAUACAAGAUACAAUGCUAAUGAUGUACAUCAAGAUGUUUUGGGGUGUGUAGUGGAGAAUAAAGUUCUUCAGAGUUCUCAGCUAUCUUGUGUACAUGUAAUUUGAAUUGAUAAGAUUUCUUUAAGAAAGAUGUGUUAUUUGAGCCCAUGCUUGUAACUCGCCUUUCACUUGUCUUUUUGCAUGUCUACUGCAGUAUUUUUUUGCUCGUUUCAAAACCUUCACAUCCAGCUGCCUUAUUUGAUUAGUGUAGAGAGUGCGAUUUUGAGGAGUUGGUCCUAAUUGCUUAUUACCCUUCUUCAAAUUAUCAGUCAGAUUAUUUGACUUUAGAGACUUAUCAGUUUGGCAUGUUUUCUAGUUUCUUAAAUGAGAGGGUUUGAUAUUUGUAGGAAUCAGAUCUCCAGAAGACUGUUUACCCUGCGAGGUUAAACUCGAUGGAUAUGCUACCUAGCUCUUCGUUGACAGGUCUUGGUAAAGUACCAUCCGCAACAGAUUUGUUUAUGCGAGGAUGCCUUGCUAAGCUGGAGCUAAGUGAUGCAAAACUGGUGUUUUUGGCAGUUUAAAACAUGACAUGGCAUAGACUGGGAGGGCCAUAGCAGCCCAUAGCAAUUGCUUUAAGAAGAAUUUCCUUUCAUCCAAGUGAUAAUGUACGCUCAAACCAACCAGGGCCAUAACAUUUGAACUUUAGAACCACUAAAGCAUUUUGGGAGUCCAAGAUAUGUACCUGUUCCACCUUCAUUGUGAAUGCCUGUCAGAGAUUUGAUUGUUUUUUUGUAUCUGAGGAUCAACUUUGGAGCCAAAGGUUAUGGAAGAAUUUGAGAGAUUAAUUCGCUGCCCUGUAAUUGUUCCAUAGUAGUCAAGAAUUUGCUGAAGCUUAUGUGCUUGUUCAAAAGAAGCCUUACACCUGAAUAAACUGUCAUCAGCAAACAAGUGAUGAAUGGCUGGACCUGUUGGUGAAAAUUGAAUUCCUUGUAUAGAUCAUUUCUCUUU